AUUAAACGCUGGCGGCAUGCCUCACACAUGCAAGUCGAACGGCAGCACGGGGGCAACCCUGGUGGCGAGUGGCGGACGGGUGAGUAAAGCAUCGGAACGUAUCCUGGAGUGGGGGAUAACGUAGCGAAAGUUACGCUAAUACCGCAUAUUCUGUGAGCAGGAAAGCAGGGGAUCGCAAGACCUUGCGCUCUGGGAGCGGCCGAUGUCGGAUUAGCUAGUUGGUGGGGUAAAGGCCUACCAAGGCGACGAUCCGUAGCGGGUCUGAGAGGAUGAUCCGCCACACUGGGACUGAGACACGGCCCAGACUCCUACGGGAGGCAGCAGUGGGGAAUUUUGGACAAUGGGCGGAAGCCUGAUCCAGCCAUGCCGCGUGAGUGAAGAAGGCCUCGGUUGUAAG
rnacentral:rRNA from 1 species